rnacentral:piRNA from 1 species
UAGCAAGUCUUAACCAGGAGUCUGUGGU